rnacentral:rRNA from 1 species
UUGGAGGGCAAGUCUGGUGCCAGCAGCCGCGGUAAUUCCAGCUCCAAUAGCGUAUAUUAAAGUUGUUGCAGUUAAAAAGCUCGUAGUUGAAUUUCGGGGUCAGUAGGCUGGUCGUGCCACGGGUAUGUACUGGUCUCACUGAUUCCUCCUUCCUGAUGAACCGUAAUGCCAUUAAUUUGGUGUUGCGGGGAAACUGGACUGUUACUUUGAAAAAAUUAGAGUGUUUAAAGCAGGCUAACGCUUGAAUACAUUAGCAUGGAAUAAUGAAAUAGGACGUUCGAUCCUAUUUUGUUGGUUUCUAGGAUUGACGUAAUGAUUAAUAGGGAUAGUUGGGGGCAUUAGUAUUCAAUUGUCAGAGGUGAAAUCCUUGGAUUUAUUGAAGACUAACUACUGCGAAAGCAUUUGCCAAGGAUGUUUUCAUUAAUCAAGAACGAAAGUUAGGGGAUCGAAGACGAUCAGAUACCGUCGUAGUCUUAACCAUAAACUAUGCCGACUAGGGAUCGGAUGAUGUUAAUUUUUUAAUGACUCAUUCGGCGCCUUACGGGAAA